UGCCAGCCGCCGCGGUAAUACGGAGGGUGCAAGCGUUAUCCGGAAUCAUUGGGUUUAAAGGGUCCGCAGGCGGACUAAUAAGUCAGUGGUGAAAUCCCAUCGCUUAACGAUGGAACUGCCAUUGAAACUGUUAGUCUUGAAUUCGGUCGAAGUGGGCGGAAUGUGUCAUGUAGCGGUGAAAUGCAUAGAUAUGACACAGAACACCGAUAGCGAAGGCAGCUCACUAGGCCUGAAUUGACGCUCAGGGACGAAAGCGUGGGGAGCGAACAGGAUUAGAUA
rnacentral:rRNA from 1 species